AUUGAACGCUGGCGGCAUGCCUUACACAUGCAAGUCGAACGGCAGCACGGGAGCAAUCCUGGUGGCGAGUGGCGAACGGGUGAGUAAUAUAUCGGAACGUGCCCAGUCGUGGGGGAUAACGUAGCGAAAGCUACGCUAAUACCGCAUACGAUCUAUGGAUGAAAGCGGGGGAUCGCAAGACCUCGCGCGAUUGGAGCGGCCGAUAUCAGAUUAGCUAGUUGGUGAGGUAAAGGCUCACCAAGGCGACGAUCUGUAGCUGGUCUGAGAGGACGACCAGCCACACUGGAACUGAGACACGGUCCAGACUCCUACGGGAGGCAGCAGUGGGGAAUUUUGGACAAUGGGCGCAAGCCUGAUCCAGCAAUGCCGCGUGCAGGAUGAAGGCCUUCGGGUUGUAAACUGCUUUUGUACGGAACGAAACGGUGAGCUCUAAUACAGUUUGCUAAUGACGGUACCGUAAGAAUAAGCACCGGCUAACUACGUGCCAGCAGCCGCCGUAACAC
rnacentral:rRNA from 1 species